rnacentral:rRNA from 1 species
UUUUAUUUUUGUUUUUGAUUUUAAAUUUUUGUAAAAUAUUUUAAUUUGUUUUUUUUUUUUAAAUAUGAAAAAUUUGGGAUUUGAACUGGAUUAGUACCCAGGUAAUCAAAAUUUAUUAAUUCGGGAGUAAAUUUUUUUAUAAACCGAAAAAAUAUUGACGGGCUUUGUAUUUUUCUUUGGAAUAUGGGUUUGGAGAGYCCCCCUUUGAUUAGGGUUUUUAGCUCAGGUAGGAUUGUUUGUUUUUUAAAUUAUUUAAAUUAUUUUUAUUUUUUUUUUWAAGGCAAAAAAAUAUUGGGUUUAAASCCUUUUUGCCAGGAAUAACAAUUUAAGAUUUUUGGGAUAAUUUUUUUAUUUUUUUUUKGAAAUUGRAAAAAAAAAAAAUUUUUUUUUAAGGGAAUUUUGAAUUU